rnacentral:rRNA from 1 species
UACGUAGGGGGCAAGCGUUAUCCGGAUUUACUGGGUGUAAAGGGAGCGUAGACGGCAGGGCAAGUCUGGAGUGAAAGGCAGGGGCCCAACCCCUGGACUGCUCUGGAAACUGUCCGGCCGGAGUGCAGGAGAGGUAAGUGGAAUUCCUAGUGUAGCGGUGAAAUGCGUAGAUAUUAGGAGGAACACCAGUGGCGAAGGCGGCUUACUGGACUGUAACUGACGUUGAGGCUCGAAAGCGUGGGGAGCAAACAGG